rnacentral:rRNA from 1 species
UACAGAGGUCCCGAGCGUUGUUCGGAUUCAUUGGGCGUAAAGAGCUCGUAGGCGGUGUGUCACGUCGAUCGUGAAAACUUUCAGCUUAACUGGGAGCUUGCGGUCGAUACGGGCAUCACUGGAGUUCGGCAGGGGAGACUGGAAUUCAAGGUGUAGCGGUGAAAUGCGCAGAUAUCGGGAGGAACACCAGUGGCGGAGGCGAGUCUCUGGACGAUACCUGACACUGAGGCACGAAAGCUGGGGGAGCAAACAGG